rnacentral:sRNA from 1 species
UCAUGGUUACACUCAUUAUUACUUCAUGAGUGCAGGUAACACCAGGCUUCUUAGAAUGAUGAAGAGGUCUAUCACAGCUGUUUUGCUAGAAGUUGUCUCUCUUGCCAAAGACACGAUUACAAGAACUUAAAGAUUUGAUAAUCUAAGUUUCUACUAUCUCAGCAAAGAUGGGACUCCCUCAACGACUACCUUGGGAACACAGCCCUGUCACUUGAACACCAAAAAGCAGGAAGAGACAAGUUUUUCCCUACCCUGGGCUAUCAGAAGGUUGCCAGCUAAGUGUCGGGACACAGCAAAACCUUAUCCACCUGCAGAAAAAAAGUCUCUCAUCUAUGUGCAUGAGAAUCAUGCCAACACUGGACACUGUGAAGGCCAGCAAGAGAUCAGGAGUAUGGAAGUUGAAAGCUCUGGGUCAACUCUGGCUCUGCGGAUGUGUAUGCCUAACACUAAGGACUCCUUGGUGCAUCUACAUUGCUCACAGAAUACUGCAGGAUCCUGGAAUCCGCACACUUGAAAGUCAAAGAGUCCACGGUUGCAGAUUAAAAGGAACCAUGGCUGCACACAUCGACAGAGACAGCAUGUGCCUUUGGUUGAUUUCUGAACUCUGGACACAGCAGUACCCAAAGGAGUCAAGUAGAAAAGAAAACACAAUGGCAGCGAUCAAAAGGUUACUGUUAAUGCUUCUUUGAGAUUCACCUGCAUUCAUCUUUUUAUUCGAGUGUGUGUGUGUGUGUGUGUUAUGUAUACAAGUGUGUACAUUUGCAUAUACCUGAGUACAUUUAGCAGCCAGAAGGAAAGGUAUCCUGUUCCUCUCCACUGUAUUCCCUUGAGACACUGUUGCUCACAGAAUGGGGAGCU